rnacentral:rRNA from 1 species
UACGUAGGGUGCGAGCGUUGUCCGGAAUUAUUGGGCGUAAAGAGCUUGUAGGCGGUUUGUCGCGUCUGCUGUGAAAUCUCAAGGCUCAACCUUGAGCUUGCAGUGGGUACGGGCAGACUAGAGUGUGGUAGGGGAGACUGGAAUUCCUGGUGUAGCGGUGGAAUGCGCAGAUAUCAGGAGGAACACCGAUGGCGAAGGCAGGUCUCUGGGCCACUACUGACGCUGAGAAGCGAAAGCAUGGGGAGCAAACGGG